UACGGAGGGAGCUAGCGUUGUUCGGAAAUACUGGGCGUAAAGCGCUCGUAGGCGGCGCAGCAAGUCAGGGGUGAAAUCCCGGGGCUCAACCCCGGAACUGCCCUUGAAACUGCAGUGCUAGAAUCUUGGAGAGGCGAGUGGAAUUCCGAGUGUAGAGGUGAAAUGCGCAGAUAUCAGGAAGAACACCCGUGGCGAAAGCGGCUCUCUGGAACGGUACUGACGCUGAGACGCGAAAGCGUGGGGAGCGAACAGG
rnacentral:rRNA from 1 species